AGUUGAAUACUUGAGUACAUUCUCAACCAAAAGUAUUACUAUUAUCAGGCAGCAAAUUUGCUCUCUUGCAUUUUUACCUAAAAGUGCUCAAAUUAAUUAAUUGUUAGGAUGAAUUUCGUUGUGGUUACUGCUUUGGUGCUUUUGGCAGUCACUGUCAGUUCAGAGUCUGAUAUUGGUGGCGGUGCUACUGCUGGAUGGAUUUGGAGAGACGACGGGCGAUGUGGACCGGAAUUCCUUGUCGAUUUUGACGGUUCUAUAACUAUAUGCAAUUCUUUUGACAUAGAGGGUUAAGUUUGCUGUUCAGCAAAAGGGUACUGCUCAAACGAACCUAAAGACUGCGUCUGUGAUGGAUGUGUUGACUACGGAGUGAAAGUCGCCAUGUAUAUUUAGAAUUUGAAGACGUAUAGUCGACUAGAAAAAAAGAAGAUGGGCGUAAAUGAAACAUGAUUUGGACAAUUUAUAGAUCUGGGUAUUGGUAAAGUGGUUAAACUUAACCAUGUUUGUUUCAGUGCCCAGAUCUGAACAAUGCAUUAACAAAAUUUUAAAUAGUAUUUUAUAAUCUACACAACAUUUUAACUUUCACCAAAAAUAUUUUCGUGAUGUGCAUUAUUUUAUUACUAUCAGUAUCAAUAAUAUAAUUUUGAAAAA